CCUACGGGAGGCUGCAGUGAGGAAUAUUGGUCAAUGGACGAGAGUCUGAACCAGCCAAGUAGCGUGAAGGAUGACUGCCCUAUGGGUUGUAAACUUCUUUUAUAUGGGAAUAAAAUGUUCCACGUGUGGGAUUUUGUAUGUACCAUAUGAAUAAGGAUCGGCUAACUCCGUGCCAGCAGCCGCGUUAAUACGGAGGAUCCGAGCGUUAUCCGGAUUUAUUGGGUUUAAAGGGAGCGUAGGUGGAUUGUUAAGUCAGUUGUGAAAGUUUGCGGCUCAACCGUAAAAUUGCAGUUGAAACUGGCAGUCUUGAGUACAGUAGAGGUGGGCGGAAUUCGUGGUGUAGCGGUGAAAUGCUUAGAUAUCACGAAGAACUCCGAUUGCGAAGGCAGUUCACUGGACUGCAACUGACACUGAGGCUCGAAAGUGUGGGUAUCAAACAGGAUUAGAUACCCUUGUAGUC
rnacentral:rRNA from 1 species